rnacentral:tRNA from 1 species
GGGCUGGUAGCUCAGCUUGGCUAGAGCACCCGACUGAUAAUCGGGAGGCCGAGGGUUCGAAUCCCUUCCGGCCCA